UUACACCUGAAAGAUGUCUGCUCAACCCAGAUCGUCUUGAUGCCAAACUCUAGCCCAAUCGACAUUGACCUGGAAUAACAAAGUCACUCCUCACCCUUAACUAAAGCAUUUACUAGUCCCAGUAUAGGCGAUAGAAAAGACCACAUGGCGCGAUAGAGACCACGUACCGUAAGGGAAAGAUGAAAUAGCAAUGAAACAAUCUAAGCUAAAAACAGCAAAGAUCAACCCUUGUACCUUUUGCAUAAUGGUCUAGCAAGAAAAACCAAGCAAAAUGAAUUUAAGUUUGCCACCCCGAAACCCAAGCGAGCUACUCGCGAGCAGCUAAUAUUGAGCGAACCCGUCUCUGUUGCAAAAGAGUGGGAUGACUUGCUAGUAGAGGUGAAAAGCCAAUCGAGCUGGGUGAUAGCUGGUUGCCUGUGAAACGAAUCUCAGUUCACUCUUAAUUCUUCUCCAAGGAAACUCAUAAACCCCAAUGAAGCGAAUUAAGGGCUAUUUAAAGGAGGUACAGCUCCUUUAAAAAAGAAUACAAUCUCCACGAGCGGAUAAGUACCCCCAA
rnacentral:rRNA from 1 species